rnacentral:lncRNA from 1 species
GGAUAUGAGAAUAUGACCUAUAUCAAGAAGUACUGUCGAAACUAUGUUGAACAAUUGAGAAGGUUAAGACUUGGAAAGCGUAAUGCCAUAGCAAUAUAGUCAUACUUUUCGACUAUGCAAGCACGGUGUUUAGGGUUUUACUUCAGUAUUGAUUUGGACGAAGAGUCGCAUGUGAAGAAUAUUUUCUGGACAGAUAAUAGGAGUCGACAGGCAUGUAUAGAGUUUGGCAAUGUUAUCACAUUUGAUACCACAUAUCUAACGAACAAUUAUGAUAUGCCAUUUGCUCCUUUUGUUGGAGUGAACCAUCAUGGACAAUCGACACUCCUCGAAUGUGGGCUCAUAUCAAACGAGGAUACUAAUUCAUUUGUGUGGAUUUUUCGAACAUGGAUACAGUGCAUGAAUGGCUAAGCUCCCAGUGGGAUAAUUAUUGAUCACGACAAGGAAAUGUAGAACGUAGUUCAGAUCGUGUUUCCCAGUACGAAGUACAAUUGGUGUUUGUGGCACAUAUUGAAAAGUUGCUGAAGAAGUUUGGAUUUCAUGUUCAUAAAACAUCGAUCUUUUCAACUGUACACAGAUUGGUUUAUGAUUCUCAAUUUAUUGAAGAAUUUGAAAAGGGUUGGCUAGAGAUGAAGACAAUGGAUGGUUGUUAGGUCUUUACGAGAAUAGAUCUCGUUGGGUUCCUUGCUAUUUGAGAACACUUUCUGGGCGGAGAUGUCACCAAUUCAAAGAAGUGAGAGUAUGAAUGCAUUUUUUGAUGGAUAUGUUCAUUCGAAGACCUCUUUAAAGCAAUUUGUUGAACAAUAUGAACAAGCAUUGAGAAAUAAGGUCGAGAAAAAGUUUCAAGCAGAUUUCAAGUCCUUCUCACAAAUGGUACCUUGUGCAACUAGGCAUGACAGUGUACACGAUAUCGAAAUUCGGGGAAGUUCAAGAAAAGUUUGCUGGCAAAGUUUAUUGCGACCUCAUAUCUGUUAACAGGGAAUGUUUGGGGACGACAUAUGAGGUACAUGAAGAUGUCAUGCAUGAUCAUCAUUGCAAGAAAAAAAAUUCUUUGUGUCAUUAUCGAGUGACAGAAGUGAAAUUAUUUACAGCUGCUACUUGUUUAAGUUUUACGGAAUUCUAUGUAGGCGCGAUCACAGUACUAAUACGCAAUGGCGUUCAAUCACUACCGGAUAAAUAUAUUUUACAAAGAUAGCGGAAAGAUGUUAUCAGAUCCCAUACGAGGUUUGCAGUGAACUACGUUGGGUUGGUUAGUACCCUAGCACAGUUGAUGUGCGACAAGAUGGUUAAAUCGUUUGCUACAUUGGCGAACCUCACUUGUGAUGAUGAUGCAAAAUCUAGUUCCAUAUUGGAAUAGAUCGAAUCUCAAUGUAAACAGAUGGCCACAUCGAGGUCAAGUUGCGAGAGUACUGCCAUGUCCAAUAGUACUACUCGUUUAGCAUCAGAGGAUAUAGCAGCGAACGAUACGGGUAGUAGUGAAUGCGUUAGCAUUCAAGAUCCAAAAUGUACAAAGAGAAAGGGCGCUCCAAAAAAACUUUAGAAGAAGUCCUCGUUAGAAUGUAGUUCAAAUAAAGUGAAGGUAUGUUGCAUUAUUCGAGUACCAUAUUAAUUUUUUGUCUAUUUUUACCAUGUGCAAAUAAGAAUAAAGUUCGUGUUUCAAACAUUGUGUUACAAGUGGGUAGUAGUACAAACAAAGGGAAGAACCCCAAGGGCCGCCAAAGUAACCUCGGAGAUGGUGCAACUGUUUUUCAAACAACCCACCCAUCACAAUAUUCAAUGCCAG